rnacentral:misc_RNA from 1 species
AAGUCGUAACAAGGUUUCCGUAGGUGAACCUGCGGAAGGAUCAUUAUCGUAGAGCUUCGGCUCUUUCGAGGGAGAACCCUUGCCUUUUCGAGCACCUGUUUGUUUCCUCGGCAGGCCCGCCUGCCAAUGGGGACCUUUUUAAACCCUUGCGAUAACCUGAACAAAAAUCGUCUGAACAAAAAAAAAAUCUAAAUCAAAACUUUCAACAACGGAUCUCUUGGUUCUG